GACGAACGCUGGCGGCGUGCUUAACACAUGCAAGUCGAACGCACCCUUCGGGGUGAGUGGCGCACGGCUGAGUAACACGUGGGAAUCUGUCUUCUAGUGGGGGAUAACGUCUCGAAAGAGACGCUAAUCCCGCAUACGCUCGGUAACGAGGAAAGGCGCAAGUCGCUAGAAGAGGAGCCUGCGGCCCAUCAGGUAGUUGGAGAGGUAAUGGCUCACCAAGCCUAUGACGGGUAGCUGGUCUGUGAGGACAACCAGCCAGACUGGGACUGAGAACGGCCCAGACUCCUACGGGAGGCAGCAGUAAGGAAUUUUCGUCAAUGGGGGAAACCCUGAACGAGCAACGCCGCGUGGAGGAUGACGGUCUUCGGAUUGUAAACUCCUUUUGUGAGGGACGAUAAUGACGGUACCUCGCGAAUAAGCCCCGGCUAACUCUGUGCCAGCAGCCGCAGUAA
rnacentral:rRNA from 1 species